rnacentral:lncRNA from 1 species
UUUAUGACAACUAAUUGAUUAGUAUGUGCUAUGGUGAAUUAAAUCUUUGUCAGGUUUUGCAUUAGUAAGAAGCAUAUGCAUAUAUCUCAGAUUCACCAGUAAGUCUAGUUUGAGAUUCAAAUGAUCUGUGGAAUGAUGACCAAUUAAUUUAUAGGACCACCCAGUCCCAAUAAAGGUGCAUUGGCAGCGCUGUUUCUAGACAAAAAUUCAUGAAUACCUUUUAUGUCCCGAAACCAAAUUCAAUACCAUUGAUACUGGAUCUGAUUUUACGCUACAUUAGUCUGCAUGAUUCAGUACAAAUACCAAAGUAUUUACAAACAAGGAUCGCCUCCUGAGUGGAGUUUGGGAAUUGGCCAGACUCCCAUUUUAAUAAUUUUUCACUAUAAUUUGCCUUCCAACUCCUAUAUUGCAAUUUGUAAUGCCUUUUUUCCCAUCUAAAAGGGUUAGUUGGAAGUUGUUAUUUGGCUUUUUUGUCUUGUAUAAGUAUUUAAGAUUUACUUGGUGCAUAAUUGAUAUGAAACUAAAUAUGUACCUAUGUAGGUAGGGAUUAAAAUAGAUUGUAUAUGGAUCGGAUAUCAAUACAUUCAUAUUUAGUUUCAUUAAUAAAUUGAUAAAUAUAGAUGCGGAUAUAGAUAUUAAUUAAGGUUACAAAUAGAUCCAGCUGACUCAUGUUUAAACUCAACAUGUUUAAACUUGACCUGCUUCUUUCUUGAAGAUUCGUGGAGCUAGGUUGGGUUCAAAUAUUUCAUGCCGUUUCUCAUUCCACAUUUUAGGUCGGAUUUAAAUUUUGUAAACUUUUACCCAAAUCGAUCUAACCUAAUCCAAACACCAUAUAGUGUUUUUUUAGGGCUUCCUAUUGGUUAAUCCUACCCAACCAGAAUUGACCCAAGGAAGCAUUCCAAGUUAUUUCUUCUUGUAGUCUAUUAAGAGAAUCUUCUACAUUAAGAAAGGCUAACUAUUGAAGUUAUUAAUUUUCCGAAGCAGAUUGCAAUUCUAGAUAAAUAUUAAUUCAUGGAGUUUUGACUAUAUUAGCAAAUAAUUUUCUGGCACUCAAAGUUCAAUUUGGUUUAGCAGUAAGAUCAAAUUUUCAUGAAAUCUUGUUAAUAAACAAACGUAGACCUGGACUAGAUUGGACCAAA